rnacentral:rRNA from 2 species
GACGAACGCUGGCGGCGUGCCUAAUACAUGCAAGUAGAACGCUGAAGGAGGAGCUUGCUUCUCCGGAUGAGUUGCGAACGGGUGAGUAACGCGUAGGUAACCUGCCUGGUAGCGGGGGAUAACUAUUGGAAACGAUAGCUAAUACCGCAUAAGAGUAGAUGUUGCAUGACAUUUGCUUAAAAGGUGCAAUUGCAUCACUACCAGAUGGACCUGCGUUGUAUUAGCUAGUUGGUGGGGUAACGGCUCACCAAGGCGACGAUACAUAGCCGACCUGAGAGGGUGAUCGGCCACACUGGGACUGAGACACGGCCCAGACUCCUACGGGAGGCAGCAGUAGGGAAUCUUCGGCAAUGGACGGAAGUCUGACCGAGCAACGCCGCGUGAGUGAAGAAGGUUUUCGGAUCGUAAAGCUCUGUUGUAAGAGAAGAACGAGUGUGAGAGUGGAAAGUUCACAC